CAAGGAAUUUUCCGCAAUGGGCGAAAGCUGACGGAGCAACGCCGCGUGGGGGAUGACGCUUUCGGAGUGUAAACCCCUUUUCUAGGGACGCGGUACCUGAGGAAUAAGGACCGGCUAACUACGUGCCAGCAGCCGCGGUAAUACGUAGGGUCCGAGCGUUGUCCGGAGUUACUGGGCGUAAAGCGCGCGCAGGCGGCUCGAUAAGACUGGCGUGAAAGCCCCCGGCUCAACCGGGGAGGGUCGUUGGUGACUGUCGAGCUUGAAGACAGCAGGGGCAGGUGGAAUUCCCGGUGUAGUGGUGAAAUGCGUAGAGAUCGGGAGGAACCCCGUGGCGAAGGCGGCCUGCUGGGCUGUUCUUGACGCUGAGGCGCGAAGGCGUGGGGAGCGAACGGGAUUAGAUACCCUGGUAGU
rnacentral:rRNA from 1 species